UAGUGGUCAGUUGUUGUCAUAUGACACCACAUUUCAGCUUGGGGAUUUCUAUCUUUCACCACUCCUUUUUCGCCAUAACAUCUUUAAAGAUAAUCCAGUUAUUCCGGUUAUUUUUAUGUUGCAUGAAAGAAAAAAAAACAAAACCCAUACCUUUUUGUUUCAAGAGAUUAAAUCUCAUGUAUCAUCUCUUUCUACUAGUAAGGCACCAUUUGUCACAGACAGAGAGAAGGCCAUUACAAAUGCUUUACAAGCUGAGCUGCCUAAAGUAUUUCAUGUGUCUUGCUGGAAUCAUGUCAUUAGAGACAUUAGAUUUUGGCUGAGUAAACAUGGUGCUUUGUCAUCUGAUAUCGCUGUUUAUUUGGACGAUGUACGGUCCUUAUUUCAUUCUUCUGCUGAUGAUAUAUGAUAUGAAAAUUUCAAACUUUGAUUGGGUUGGGAUAACAACUGAAUUUUCAGAUUUGUUACCGCUAGAAUUGAAGAUAGCAAGUCAUACACCAGAUAUGGCAGAGAGUGAAAUGGUUUCCAUGCAUCAAAUUGAUUCUGAUCUUGAAUAUACCCUAUCACCACUCACAAGUGGAGAUGAAGAUGACUGUGACUGCUCGCUAAUUCUUGUUCCGGAAUAUCAAAAGGACACCUUAUAUGAUGACAUUACAGGGAUUAAUCACAAAGAAUCUUAUAUUUCAGUAGCUGAACAGUUUGUGAAAUCUUCCCACCCACCUAUCAGAAUUGGCUCCAUUCCAGUUAAAGAUUUAUUUAGUGCUAUUAAGAGUCAUGAAGUUAGUUCAUAUACAUUUUCUAAUUAUACGGCAACUCAAUUAAUAGGGCAAGUUCAUUAAAACUGCUUUGGAUCCCUCAUCAAGUGAAUUUUUUACAGAAAAUAUAUUUGAGCAAAAGAAAAGGCAUAUACCAGAUAUCAUAUGGCCUUUAACAGAUGAUGUACUUUCACAACAAAUAUUUCUUUACCUGGAGGAACUAACCAGUUUACACUGUAAGGAUGUGGGUAGAAGGAAAGCAACUGCAGUUAAGUUGCUUUGGCCAGAGGUAACUAUAUUUCUAAUACAAAUAUCUCAACUUAUGUUCUUUUAUUAUUUCCGUAGGCAAUGGUAAUAUGCUUAGAAAAGUUAAAAGGAAUAACACAUGAGGAUGCUGUAUAUUUUAAUAAAAAAGAAAUUACAACUAUCCUACCAUGAAGUUAAUAUAUUGUCUUAUUGAAACAUUGAAUCUGCUUAUAGAUCUAUAACUAUUACAUAAUACUAUAAUGUACUUGAAUAUGUACAAAAAUUAAUAAUAAUUAUUGACAUAGUGAUUAUAGCCAGCCUACUGGCAAGCCAUGAUUGAAACUGGAAACUGAAUAAUAAUGAUGCUUGUUAAGGACUCAAAUAGAGCUUAUAUGUGCAUAGAUAUCAUUCUUGCAGACAAAUCCAUAAACUUUGGGCGUUGAUCCGUACUUCGAUACAGAUCCGCGAGCAUUCCGCGUUGAUCCGCAUUUCAGCCUGAUCUGCAUUUGAUCCGCAUUUCAGGCUUGCCCGUGUAUUUACCAAUCUGGGCCCUUUCUUCUGGCGUGUAAUCUUAAUACUUCGGCCAUUUUGACAUUUUUUCAACUUCUGUGUCUUGUUCAGAUGAAGUACGUUUCACAGAUUCAUUCACCUUCGCAAGUUCAUUAUUAGAGAGGGACAGUACCUUUUCUGGAAGAUUGUGUUCACCUAAUUUAGACACUGGCUUAAAGAAAUGUAGUAAAGCCAUUUUAGCUUCUAACCAUGCUUUUGACUAAGUAAAAUUAAUGUGGGCAUGGUAAUUGGGCGUGUAUACACAUAAAUGGAAUUAUUGCUUGCAGAUUUUAUUUUGGCGUUUUUGUAUAAAUCCGCCAAUCCACCAAUAUAAAAACCCCGUCAACAUUUCAUCUUAUACGGUAAAUCAACUUUUGAAUAUUACUUAGUGGCCCAAUGUAGCCUGAACAAUGGGUAUCAUGGUUAAAAUUGCACAAGACAGGUGCAACGUAUAAACUAUGAUAUAUUUCAGGCAACAUUAACACUGGAUUGGGCAGCCAAUAUAAUACACUGAUGUAGAUUAGGUGGAGAUGCAAAUGACAGAAAAUUCACAUUAGAUACAUUAUAUAGAUAAUGAU